AGUGUGACUGUAAUUUCCACAAUGCUAUUGGUGUCUGACAUUACUACGUUGCUGAACUCUUACUUUGGUACCUGUCUUCCAUCAGUUCGAGGGAGCUCAUUCGUAUUUUUGGCGCUACCUUUAGUAAUAAUGAAUUCACUGGAAUAUCGCAAUCUCACUGAACAUAGGUCUAGGCAUAUAAUGAGGUAAUUGCAAGGUGCUAUAAUCGUUGGUUCAAUUUUCCAAAGCUUUCUAGGGCUUACGGGUUUAAUGUCCCUCUUAAUCAGGCUGAUAAAUCCUGUGGUGGUUGCGCCAACUGUUGCUGCAGUUGGUUUAGCAUUUUUCAGUUAUGGUUUUCCUCAAGCUGGUAGCUGUGUCAGAUCAGCGUUCGGCUGAUACUAUUGGUUCUUAUUUUCUCCUU